GAGACUUAAUUCAAAUGUACCAAUAACUCAAUACUAUCCAUUCUGUGGCUGGUCAUAGAAUUGGACCAGCAAGAGCAACAGCAGUGAAUUGUUUUGAAUUACACACUUAUCUUUUACAUAUGAAAAUUUUAGAUCUCGUUCUGUUGAUGGCAAAGACAAAAAUUUAGUUGUGAUUAAUAAAAAAAUUUUACAUAACAUCAAAUUCUCAAAUAAGAACACUGACUUUAGUGGUUAUAGAAAUACGGAGGCUUACCAUCCUCAGAGGUGUGUGUGGUGGCAGUUCUCCGCUCUCUGUACAUCCCCUGCUCAGCCAAGGCCCUGCUUUACCUGUAUCCUGCUCACAUGACUGACCUUCCCUCUUUAAUCAGAAGCCUAACAGUGACUGCCUACAUGUUUGCCCCCGCCUCAGCUGCUGACUGUUCUAAUGCUUAGACCAGAAGGGCUCCACACUGCCAGGCCGUCACAGGGAACCAUCUGCCCUCCGGUGACUGCUAGCUCGAGGGGCUGUGAGGCACGUGCCCCUCUGCUGGUUUCCCUGGUAACCCAUGAGCCAGCCUGAUGCCAGUUCCUCCUAUGAAUGGCGAUCUCCUUCUCCACCCCAGGAGCUGUACCCUGCCUGCUCAACACAGUGGGCUGUCGCUCUAGGACCUUUUGCGUCUGACUUGUAAGAUUCCCUAUCCAACAAAUCUUGGACGUCGCUGUCUCUGGACUCUUUCUCCGGACUUGCGGCUGGGCAAUUGCAAGGUUCACAGGCCUGUGGGGUGCAGCCCACCAACAGGAACUAUUACAGCACUACAUGGUCUGUGGUUGAUGGUGCAGAUGUGGAACCACAGGUAUGGAGGAAACAAAUAAGUGGAGGGCUGAUGGUUGAAGCCCUAACUUCCCCAUGUGACUGUAUUUGGAGGGCCUUUAAAGGAGAUAGUUAAGACUAAAUGAUAUCAGAAGGGUGGGGCCUUAACCCAGGAGAACUGAUGUCUUUAAAAGAAGAGACAAUAGGAGCACAAGCAAACAGGAAAAGGCCAUGUGAAGAAACAGCAAGGAGGUGGCUGUCUGCAAGCCCUGGGGAGAAGUCUGACCAGAAAUCAAACCUGCUGGCACUUUGAUCUUGGACUUCUAGAACUAUAAGCAACUGAAGAAAAGCUAUUGAAGUUAGUUACCAAGCUGAAGCCUGAUUCCCAGUUAAUGCCUAGAAGUUUGGAAGCCUAAAUAGGACUAAUACUUUUACAGGUACUUUUGUUUCUAAUGAAAAAUACAAGACAAAAACAAUUUCUGGAGAACUUGGAUAACUAUGUUAAAAAACAUUUGGUAUUUAAUACAGUUUCAAGAUUAAUUAAUUAAAAAUUACAAACUAAUCAAAACUAGCUAUAUAGAGAAUGACAUUAUCAACCACAAACAUCACAAUUAUUUUUUCUUCUAUGAUUCUCUUAAUGCUAUUGAAAGUAGAAAAGGCAAUUUUGUCUACAAAUUGUAUUCUAGAAAUCAUAAGAAAAUGUCAAUUAAAAACAUCUAUUGGAAGAUUCAUUCAUUUCUGUAUUUCAACUAUCAAGAUGUAAUAUUUAGGUUAAAACAUUACAAACUUCUGAUUUUGAGACUUGUCUCCAUCACUGAUUGAUUACACAAGAAACUUAGGGUUCUCCUUGCACAAAUGUUCAAAGUUUCUCUAGGAAUUGAGACGUUAAAGGGUUAAAGUACCAGCACAUAUAAAAAGAAAUGUGUAUCUUUUUUCAACACGAAGUAGAUAGUAGAGAUCAUAGUAAUUCAUCUGAAGAGAUAGACAAAAUGUGAAUGAGUGCAGAAAUCAAAGUAUAUAUGUUUAAAAAAAAAAAAGUCCAGGAACAUGAGGUCACUAGCUUUCUUCAUGUCCAGCAAAGCAGGGCAGCCUGGGACAGAGAUGACUGAGAAACAAACAGAAGAGACUAAGGAAGAGGAAGAACUCAAGGACGAAAAGAUGGAAGAAGACUCAAAAGGGCAAAUGAGUAUGACUUAAAAGGAAGCCUAGAAAAAUGGAGACAGAAAUGGCCAAAACUCAGAAAUUUACAAAUUAGGAAGAAAAUAGGAACAAAAAAGGAACAAAAAUAAAUGUCUGAACAAACAAAAAUAAAUAUAGGAAAACAGUAUUAUGUAAACCAAGCAAAGAGGAAAAUAGAUACAGGCCUUUGGAAUAAGAAAACAAAGAUGAAAACCCCUUGAUUUUCUUUCCCAGUUUGUUGUUCACAAGGGAAAAUCUUCUUUGUUUUGAGCUAUGAAUGAGUGUUAAUAUUGUUCCUUUAGUUUGGGAUUUUGAAAAGCCAAUAAUGUCUUUUGUUUCCUUUAGUUAAAGAGAAAAACUCCAAAUAUUACAGUGUCUUUAAAUAUUGAGUAUUGUUGAAGCAAAUGUGAAAGUUGUAAUUUUCAGAGUAACUUUAACAGCAUAAUAGUUUCUCAGCUUUCGUGCCUAUCAUUAGCAUCACACUUAGCAGGACACAGGUGGAAAGAUUUAAGAGGCUUUCCAGAAUAAAUCUGUAAUAUGCAUUCUUACACCUGCCCUGAGAUCUAACCGACUGCUCAGCCAGUAACAUUUAAUCUAUGGCCAAUGAACUAAUAAAACAACAUAGGGAAGAUAGAUGGAGUUCCCAAUCAAAAAGGCCUGGUAAGCAGCUGGGGUACAUGGCUAUCUGCCCGUCUCUCUUAAAAUAAAUCCAUGAACAAAGCAAACUUCCCUAAUGUGAUUGAUAGAAACUUAUUUCAGGGUAAACAGUAUGAAAGCACAGAGUCAAUACUGAAGAAUUUUCUUCAUCCAAAAGAAAAAGGCAGAAAAAAGUGACUUCGAGGAUUGGACAGAAGGCUUAGAAUUAAAAUAAUCAUAAUCACCUUUCCAGGCUCAGCAACUCUGACAAGGUCCUAUUUAUAAAGAAUCAUGUUGGUCUUCUGCAGCAUUAUUUAUAGUCCUGUAUAAGGUGAACACUAAGUAGGGAACCUGGUCCAUAAUUAUAGUCCCUCUUUCUGCAUUUUACUACUGCUUUAGAACUGGGCUAAGAGGGAAGAAUGGAAGAAAAACAUUCAUAUUACACUGACCUUAUAAUUCUGUGCUCUCCAAAGUGAUAAUACUCUUC